rnacentral:tRNA from 1 species
UUCGGGGUCGUCUAAUCGGAAGGACGGCUGCCUUUGAAUCAGCAAAUAUAGGUUCGACUCCUUUCCCCGAAGCCA